rnacentral:rRNA from 1 species
UUGGAGGGCAAGUCUGGUGCCAGCAGCCGCGGUAAUUCCAGCUCCAAUAGCGUAUAUUAAAGUUGUUGCAGUUAAAAAGCUCGUAGUUGAACUUCGGGGUUUACCCAUUGGUCAGGCUUAAUUGUCUGUACUGGUGAGAUAAAUCUCUACCUUCUGAGGAACUUUUAUGUCAUUAACUUGAUGUGAUUGGAAAUCAGGACUAUUACUUUGAAAAAAUUAGAGUGUUUAAAGCAGGCUAACGUCUGAAUACAUUAGCAUGGAAUAAUGAAAUAGGACGGAUUGAUUCUAUUUCGUUGGUUUCUAGGAUCACCGUAAUGAUUAAUAGGGAUAGUUGGGGGCAUUAGUAUUCAAUUGUCAGAGGUGAAAUUCUUGGAUUUAUUGAAGACUAACUACUGCGAAAGCAUUUGCCAAGGAUGUUUUCAUUAAUCAAGAACGAAAGUUAGGGGAUCGAAGACGAUCAGAUACCGUCGUAGUCUUAACCAUAAACUAUGCCGACUAGGGAUCGGACGAAGUUAAUUUUAUAAUGACGCGUUCGGCGCCUUACGGGAAAC